rnacentral:lncRNA from 1 species
UUCAAGAAAUUAAAUACAAAUCCAAGCGCACACACGCUGCAUCUCUUUGUAACGUAAUUUGGUACAAGUACAAAUAAACAAACAAGAGGAAUCCCAUUUUGUCGCAACCAGCUUGUGAAGUUCACGCGCGUUGACAGCGUGGACCAAAGUUUUGAUGGAAAACCCAAGGCAGGCCGAAUCCUGCUAUACUUAAGCCGGCCCAAACUCAGUACACUCAUUGGCCUGCUCUACCCUUAAUCACCUUCUAACGUAGCAGCUCAAUCUAUUCAAGGCGCAUAUCCAUCAUUUGACCACCCACAGUUUUGGGCUUCCAAGCCCAAAAAUAUUUUUACGAGGGCCAAAAAUCUGCUUUGAAGAUACCCGAGAUGGCACAAAACUGAUGGGCUGGCUAGUGGUAUAGAAUUUUAUAACAGAAUAUAAGCGCGGAUUUUCUUCUAUCCCUUUUUUUGCGUAUGGGACCAUUGCUUUUUUUCUCUUUAUUUUUUUUUUAUCUAACGAAAUUCUCGACCGGUUGGUACAAUAUCAUUGCUCGGUCACAUGGUUGGAAGAUCAGCGAAUAGGUGCAAUCAACUGACACACAAACAGCUGCCACCUGGCACCACCUGCAAGUUGCCAAAAAAAAUUAGAUGUAAAAGUAGGCUGACAGCAAAUUGCAUGUGACAUAAUUGGAUCAAAGGACGGACUCAUCACAAUGAUAAACGGUCACACUUAACUGAGACAACUAUCCACAAGACUGUUUUACAAGCCAAUUAAAAACUAUCCCCCAGGAAAAGCAAAGCGUCCUUUUUAAAAUUCAAGAAAAAAG